rnacentral:misc_RNA from 1 species
AAAACUUUGUUUAGUUUUGUAAUCAAGACUGCUAACUUCACAUUAUCUGUAUUUUAUACUUUAGCAUAUGUGUCCAGUUGCUAUGCUAUUAACUGUUAAUGCUUGUGUGCUUCGAGUCAUAAAGUGUUUAUUGAUGCAUUUGAACUCUACAGAGCUAAUUUUCAUUUGUAAACAAUCAAUUUAUUUCAUAAAAAAUCUCCCAAACAUGAAUUCAUGUAGUCUCAUUGUAAUUAUGUACUCAAAGUACAGCAGUUUUUCAAUUUCGUUUUUCAAGCCAUUUCAUUUGGAUGCCAUGACCUAUGGGUGUGUGAUCUCAUCGAAAAUUUACAAGAUGAAUUUUAAGUUUGGGAUGCAAUAAUGCAUCCAAUUCUGUAUUAAUCUGUCCGACAAUUUAGGUGUGUUCAGUGAAUCUGUAGGAAAGGUUUUGCUAGAUGAAUUUCUUUCUGUUUAAUUUACACUUUAUUCAGUAACCUAUUGGACUUGUGACAGUUGAAUGCAAUUGCCUAAUUAUGUACAUCCUGGAUUUAUCUACUGUAUUAAUCUCAAAGACGACAGGUUUUAUUGGCUGUUGUGGCAUUAUUUUUGUUUGAAAUUAAAUUUUUUAAGGGAAAAGAAAAAAAAAUAACAUUAGAAUAUUUGAAAGCUUCCCCUUCACCCCCAAUAAAUUGCAAGUUGCAAGAGUAGUCUUGUGGUUAUUGAAAAUAUCUUGAAUCUUUUGAAAAGAUUUCUCUGCUGAAGGUAAAAUAAAUCUGUUGACCUUAAAAAGCACAGCAUUGAACAGUGUUGAAUAUUUGAAUUGAGUGUUGAAUUACAACAUUAUUUCAUCACUUGCUCAUAACAAUGAAUCCUCGGAUCAACUUGUAUGUAUGUUCAUGUUUUUGUUUGUGUGUGUGUGUGUGCUAUACCUAUUCUGUGAUCAUAUACACUUUUCUCAUGUGUUUUGUUUUAUUUAUAUAUAAAAUACAAUUGUAUGUACAAAUGAAUUUUGGGGGGCAAAGAAGGGCAAGAUUUAGUUUGAUGUUAGUCAGUUGUAAAUGGCGGCAAUAAAAUGAUUGAG